rnacentral:snRNA from 1 species
GCUCAUUUUGGCAGCACAUAAAGUUGGAAAGACGCAGAGAAGAUGGGCUUGGCCCCUGUACAGUGAUGACACUCAAAUUGGUGAAGUGUUCUGUAUUUAC